rnacentral:rRNA from 1 species
ACGGCCACCAGAGGCACGGCGGUGGACAUGAGCGAGCUCCUGUCCGGCUACACCAACGACAUCGUGUGCCGUGCGGUCCUCGGAGAAUCCCACCGCAAGGCAGGCCGGAACAGGCUUUUCGGCGAGCUCACGGAGAUCAACGUCUCCCUUCUCGGCGGGUUCAGCCUCGAGAACUACAUCCCCCCAAACAUGGUAAUGGCCGAUGUGCUCUUGAGGCUGGUUUCCGUCAAGGCUCGACGACUCAACAAGAGGUGGGACGACUUGUUCAACGAGAUCAUUGAGGAACACCCGCACCCCAGCAAACCAUCAUCCGGCGAGCAGCAAGCAGCAGAUUUCAUAGAUCUUCUGCUCUCUCUCAAGGAAGAGUACGGUCUCACUACGGAUAACAUCAAGGCCAUCUUGGUGGACAUGUUUGAGGUAGGCAUAGAAACAUCUUAUCUGACAUUGGAGUACGGCAUGGCUGAGCUCAUGAACAACAGACACAUUCUGAAAAAAUUACAGGAGGAGGUAAGAUCCCAAGGAAAAAAGUUAGACAUGAUAACAGAGGAGGACCUUAGCAGCAUGGCCUACCUAAGGGCAACCAUCAAGGAGACGCUGCGCAUGCACCCACCAGCGCCCUUCCUCCUCCCGCACUUCUCCAUCGCUGACCUGCAAGAUCGACGGAUAUUGAUACCCUCCAACACACCCGUCCUUGUGAAUGCCUGGGCCCUAGGGAGGGAUCCAUCGUCUUGGGAGAGACCAGAAGAUUUCUGGCCUGAGAGGUUUCUGCAGGAUCAAGCUGGCGAUGUGGACACCCAGAUGAGGGGCAAAGAUCUUAGGUUCCUGCCAUUUGGGUUCGGGCGAAGGAUUUGUCCAGGGAUGAAUUUCGGGUUCGCCACCAUGGAGGUUAUGUUAGCAAAUCUCAUGUACCAUUUUGAUUGAGAUGUUCCGAAUAAGAUGGCUACCAGCGCAGGGGUUGAUAUGGCUGAGUCGUUUGGGUUAACGCUUCGCCGAAAGGAGAAGCUUCAACUUGUUGCUCAGAUUCCCUAA